GAAUGUGAGAGCAAUCUGGUUGUGACAUCUGUCACCCUAUUGAUAGGGUUGAUUCAGCUGAUCUGUUCUGGCUGGCUAGGUGGGUGUCCUCUUCCUCCCUCACUGGUCUAUGGAUGUCUCUCCUGCAGCUAUAUGCUUGGCCAAAGAGGACAAUUGACCCGAUAGAGAGUAGGACUGUUUCUUCAGUCAAGAGUAUAGGAGUAGCUGAGCUUCCCUGCUAGAGUCUCCAAACAAGCUCUCAAGAUAAUACUAAAGAUUUUGAAAAGCAAAGCCAAUCAAACAAAUACAAACAAGCAAACCUAGUCAUUCAAAAGUGGUAGGUGUAACUCUUU
rnacentral:snRNA from 1 species